rnacentral:rRNA from 1 species
UGGGGAAUAUUGCGCAAUGGAGAGACACUCUGACGCAGCAAUACCGCGUGAGCGAGGAAGGUCUUCGGAUCGUAAAGCUCUGUACACGGGGAAGAAAAAAAUGACGGUACCCGUGGAGCAAGUCCCGGCUAACUACGUGCCAGCAGCCGCGGUAACACGUAGGGGACAAGCGUUGUCCGGAAUGACUGGGCGUAAAGGGCGCGCAGGCGGCCUUUUAAGCAGGAAGUGAAAGGCCCCGGCUCAACCGGGGAGAUGCUUUCUGAACUGGAAGGCUUGAGUAUUGGAGAGGCAGGCGGAAUUCCUGGUGUAGCGGUGAAAUGCGCAGAGAUCAGGAGGAACACCGGAGGCGAAGGCGGCCUGCUGGACAAAUACUGACGCUGAGGCGCGAAAGCGUGGGGAGCAAACAGG